rnacentral:rRNA from 1 species
CAGCCGCCGCGGUAAUACCGGCGGCCCGAGUGGCGGUCACUAUUAUUGGGCUUAAAGCGUCCGUAGCCGGGGUGUGAAGUCCUCCGGGAAAUCUGGCCGCUUAACGGUCAGAAUGCCGGAGGAUACUCCCAGCCUAGGGAGCGGGAGAGGCCGAGGGGAUUCCCGGGGUAGGGGUGAAAUCCUAUAAUCCCGGGAGGACCACCUGUGGCGAAGGCGCUCGGCUGGAACGCGGCCGACGGUGAGGGACGAAGGCCAGGGGAGCAAACCGGAUUAGAUACCCGGGUAGUCCUGGCUGUAAACGAUGCGGACUUUGUGUCGGACAAGCUAUGAGCUUGUCCGGUGCCGGAGGGAAACCGUUAAGUCCGCCGCCUGGGGAGUACGGCCGCAAGGCUGAAACUUAAAGGAAUUGGCGGG